GAUGAAGAACGCAGCGAAAUGCGAUACUUGGUGUGAAUUGCAGAAUCCCGUGAACCAUCGAGUCUUUGAACGCAAGUUGCGCCCGAAGCCAUUAGGCCGAGGGCACGCCUGCCUGGGCGUCACACGCCGUUGCCCCCCCAUCUACUCCUUCGGGAUUGCGGGGGGCGGAUGAUGGCCUCUCGUGCGCCUCGUCGCGCGGUUGGCCUAAAUGCCAAGUCCUCGGCGACGCACGCCACGACAAUCGGUGGUUGCGAAACCUCGGUUGCCUGUCGUGUGCGGUCGUCGCGCAUCGAGGGCUCGAAAAAAUUGCCGGGCUUCGGCUCGACUUUCAACGCGACCCCAGGUCAGGCGGGGUUACCCGCUGAAUUUAAGCAUAUCAAUAAGCGGAGGA
rnacentral:misc_RNA from 1 species